rnacentral:rRNA from 1 species
AGAGUUUGAUCCUGGCUCAGAUUGAACGCUGGCGGCAUGCUUUACACAUGCAAGUCGAACGGUAACGCGGGCUUCGGCCUGGCGACGAGUGGCGGACGGGUGAGUAAUGCAUCGGAACGUAUCCUUUUGUGGGGGAUAGCCCGGCGAAAGCCGGAUUAAUACCGCAUAAGCUCUGAGGAGGAAAGUGGGGGACCUUCGGGCCUCACGCUGAAGGAGCGGCCGAUGUCAGAUUAGCUAGCUGGUGGGGUAAAGG